rnacentral:rRNA from 1 species
UACAGAGGGUGCGAGCGUUAAUCGGAAUUACUGGGCGUAAAGCGUGCGCAGGCGGCUAUGCAAGACAGAUGUGAAAUCCCCGGGCUCAACCUGGGAACUGCAUUUGUGACUGCAUCGCUGGAGUGCGGCAGAGGGGGAUGGAAUUCCGCGUGUAGCAGUGAAAUGCGUAGAUAUGCGGAGGAACACCGAUGGCGAAGGCAAUCCCCUGGGCCUGCACUGACGCUCAUGCACGAAAGCGUGGGGAGCAAACAGG